rnacentral:rRNA from 1 species
GACGAACGCUGGCGGCGUGCUUAACACAUGCAAGUCGAACGGAAAGGCCCUGCUUUUGUGGGGUGCUCGAGUGGCGAACGGGUGAGUAACACGUGAGUAACCUGCCCUUGACUUUGGGAUAACUUCAGGAAACUGGGGCUAAUACCGGAUAGGAGCUCCUGCUGCAUGGUGGGGGUUGGAAAGUUUCGGCGGUUGGGGAUGGACUCGCGGCUUAUCAGCUUGUUGGUGGGGUAGUGGCUUACCAAGGCUUUGACGGGUAGCCGGCCUGAGAGGGUGACCGGCCACAUUGUGACUGAGAUACGGCCCAUACUCCUACGGGAGGCAGCAGUGGGGGAUAUUGCACAAUGGGCGGAAGCCUGAUGCAGCAACGCCGCGUUCGGGAUGACGGCCUUCGGGUUGUAAACCGCUUUCGCCUGUGACGAAGCGUGAGUGACGGUAAUGGGUAAAGAAGCACCGGCUAACUACGUG